UGGGGAAUCUUGCACAAUGGGGGAAACCCUGAUGCAGCGACGCCACGUGAACGAUGAAGCCCUUCGGGGUGUAAAGUUCUUUCGACAGGAACGAUAAUGACGGUACCUGGAGAAGAAGCUGCGGCUAACUACGUGCCAGCAGCCGCGGUAAUACGUAGGCAGCGAGCGUUGUUCGGAGUUACUGGGCGUAAAGAGUGCGUAGGCGGCGAGCCAAGUUUGGUGUGAAAUCUCCCGGCUUAACCGGGAGGGUGCGCCGAAAACUGGUUGGCUGGAGUAUGGGAGAGGAAAGCGGAAUUCCUGGUGUAGCGGUGAAAUGCGUAGAUAUCAGGAGGAACACCUGCGGUGUAGACAGCUUUCUGGACCAAAACUGACGCUGAGGCACGAAAGCGUGGGUAGCAAACA
rnacentral:rRNA from 1 species